AGAUUGAACGCUGGCGGCAGGCCUAACACAUGCAAGUCGAGCGGUAGAGAGGUGCUUGCACCUCUUGAGAGCGGCGGACGGGUGAGUAAUGCCUAGGAAUCUGCCUAGUGGUGGGGGAUAACGUUCGGAAACGGACGCUAAUACCGCAUACGUCCUACGGGAGAAAGCGGGGGACCUUCGGGCCUCGCGCCAUUAGAUGAGCCUAGGUCGGAUUAGCUAGUUGGUGAGGUAAUGGCUCACCAAGGCGACGAUCCGUAACUGGUCUGAGAGGAUGAUCAGUCACACUGGAACUGAGACACGGUCCAGACUCCUACGGGAGGCAGCAGUGGGGAAUAUUGGACAAUGGGCGAAAGCCUGAUCCAGCCAUGCCGCGUGUGUGAAGAAGGUCUUCGGAUUGUAAAGCACUUUAAGUUGGAGAAGGUUGUAACUUAAUACGUUGCAACUUUGACGUUACGACAGAAUAAGCACCGGCUAACUUCGUGCCAGCAGCCG
rnacentral:rRNA from 1 species